UACGUAGGUGGCAAGCGUUGUCCGGAUUUACUGGGCGUAAAGCGUAUGCAGGCGGAGCUUUAAGUAGCGAGUGAAAGGUGAGGGCUCAACUCUCACACUGCUCGCUAUACUGGGGUUCUGGAGUGCCGGAGAGGAAGAUGGAACUGCACGUGUAGCGGUGAAAUGCGUUGAGAUGUGCAGGAACACCAAUGGCGAAAGCAAUCUUCUGGACGGUGACUGACGCUGAGAUACGAAAGCCAAGGGAGCGAAC
rnacentral:rRNA from 1 species